rnacentral:rRNA from 1 species
AUGGCGGUUCAGGGCGUGGUGCAGGGUUGUAGGCCGAUGCUGUUGGUGAUCUGGGGAACGUCGGGACCCAAAGCAGAGGAGCAGGUGCUGCUCCGGCGACGCAUCGGCACAGGGAACAGAAGGAAAAGCACGGGCAGGAGGAAGGCCAUGGCGGAGGUACGCGAUGGGCGCUUGGGGCGCCGGCGGCGGUCUCAGCAAGGAGAAGGGCACGACGGGGUGGCCUGGAGGUCAAGGAGGCAGGCGGGUUCGCGGGAUGUGGUAUGGCAUGACGUCGAGAGAGAGGCCGGUGGCGGCGCCAUGGCUUGGAGACGACGGCGACGACAAGACUCGGGCUAG